CCUAUACAUGGGUUUCUUCUUCAAUUGCUAUAAAUUCUCUCAAAGCCUCUAAAUCGUUCUCUGCGCAGCCUACUCCGAACUACUAGGAUUUCGAAAGCGAGGGUGAGAAUGAACCUAGACAUGAAAUCACUAUGAGGGCCAAGUGGAAGAAGAAAUGCAUGAGGAGGUUGAAGAGGAAGCGCCGAAAGAUGAGGCAGAGAUCCAAGUAGUUCUCUUGCCAAUAAAUCGACGUUGUUUUGUGUCUAAUCGGUUUUUGAUUAGAGAGUCAUUGUGUUUUCCAUUUUUAUGUUUGGAUUUAAUAUCUGAAAGGUUGGAUUUUUGUGCUGUU